rnacentral:rRNA from 1 species
UACCAGCACCCCGAGUGGUCGGGACGAUUAUUGGGCCUAAAGCAUCCGUAGCCGGUUCUACAAGUCUUCCGUUAAAUCCACCUGCUUAACAGAUGGGCUGCGGAGGAUACUAUGGAGCUAGGAGGCGGGAGAGGCAAGCGGUACUUAGUGGGUAGGGGUAAAAUCCGUUGAUCCAUUGAAGACCACCAGUGGCGAAGGCGGCUUGCCAGAACGCACUCGACGGUGAGGGAUGAAAGC